rnacentral:pre_miRNA from 1 species
UCUCAUGGAUGAACAAAGAAAGCGGUUUCUUGAGAUGGAAUCUGCUCCUGGCGAAGAUGCUGUGAA